AUUCUGCCCAUGCGGGGAAGGACGAGAAGCUUCGACCAAGGUUCGACUCGAGCGUCAGCGAGAGAGCGUCAGCGAGAGAGCGUCAGCGAGAGAGCGUUGCCGCAGGCAACGACCCGAAGGGCGAAGCGCGCAGCGCUGAGUAAUCCUUCCCCCACCACCA
rnacentral:sRNA from 1 species